rnacentral:lncRNA from 1 species
CAGGGUGCUUCUGGGGCACCAGGAGUUACCAGUCCCCUUGGGCUCCCCAUGGGAUCCAAGUAGCAGGUCAUGCUAGGGAGCAGCUAGGGGCAGCCCCAGACUUCAUUGUUAGUUCUGACUGAAUUGGAAGGAUUUAAUUUAUGGUCCCUGAACUGACAAUCAUACAGACAGCAUCUAAGGAUCAUUUGAAAGCACUUGGAAUGUUGCAGUAGAUAUUUG